rnacentral:rRNA from 1 species
UACGUAGGGAGCAAGCGUUGCCCGGAAUCAUUGGGCGUAAAGCGCGCGUAGGUGGCUUCGUAAGUCCGUUGUGAAAGUCAAAGGCUCAACCUUUGAAAGCCGAUGGAUACUGCGGAGCUAGAGUACGGAAGAGGCGAGUGGAAUUCCUGGUGUAGCGGUGGAAUGCGCAGAUAUCAGGAGGAACACCAAUAGCGAAGGCAGCUCGCUGGGACGUUACUGACACUGAGGCGCGAAAGCGUGGGGAGCGAACAGG